rnacentral:sRNA from 1 species
CGGCUGCUGGAGGCGCGGGCCGGGCCGUGCGCACUACGGCCGCAUCCGUGCCCCGGCGCCGUCCGUGCCCGCGGGACCUGACAGCCGGGUCAGAGGCUCCUGCACGGCCGGUGCUGUGCCUCCGGGCCCAGGUGACCUCGGGGUGAGAAGGAAAGGGCCUCUGAGAUGAGAACAUAGUUUUGCUGUUUUCAGUUUAUACUCAAAGCCCUGCAGUUUCCUGACAGCACAGAGCACACCUGUCACGCGGGCAGGAUGAAGCGCAGAGGCUGCCUGGUGAAGUGGGCGGAGCGCUGGAAAAUCCGCGUGCAGAGUAGCUUGGUUCCCUCCACAGGGAGCGUGCAAGGCCCUCUCCGGCGCCGCGGGAGCCUCGCCCUCUGCACAGACUUCGGAGCCAGGUGCUGGAGCGGCAGCAACUGAGGGGCGUGGAUGUCUUUGCACGGUUCCCAUACGUUUUUCAGACGUUAAUUGAUUUUCAGUAAAGUGGCAGGAUCAACACCGAAGAAUGGGGAGCAACUGUGAGCCGAUUUCCUGCGAGUGGUUGAGAAGCAGGCUUGGUGUGGUUGGCCGCCCUUGUGCUUAGCGGCUGCUCAGCCCUGCCCCCGCUGCUCCUGCUGGAGCUGCCUGCCUGGCUUAGAAACAACGCACCUCUGUAGUUGGCGGUGGCUUCGACAGGUGAAGCCCAAGCAGGUUAGUGUUCUCACAGCUAGGAAGGACAUGGGCCUGGCAGGGAGCUGCAGCACAGCCUCUGUCAACACAGAAGCACUGCCGUGCGAACCCUUGCCUCCCAGGACAGCUGUUGCGUACCCAGCAGCCGGAGCGCUGGCUCCGCGAGGGCUCUUCAGCAGUGCCAGGUGCAGCUGGGCUCCACCCUCAACUGGUCCAAUAGUAGCGAAAGAAACGAGGAGUGUCAUGAAUUGUUAGACAGCAUCCGUAUGCCUAAGUUCAAAUUGGAGCCGCCCAGCCCUACCUGUGGAUACAAAGCUGCCGUUCAGUGGGGAGCCAGAGCGGAGGGGCCUAUGUGACGCCCUUGCAUGUGGGUGAAAGUCACCCGCAGGCCGUGCCAACGUUCUGAGAGGUGACAAAGGGGCAGGGCCUCUGGGAUCUGGGGUCAGGAGUUCCAGGAAGCCUGCUUCUGCUUCUGCCCAGCAGUUCACUCUUUCCUCCACAGCAGCUGAAGCUUGAGCUGCUGUGGGGCUCACCUGGCCAAAGGCAGAAGGGAGCUCUCCGUCCCAGGCAGCAUCCUGGUGGGUGUCUGUCCUGUGCGAGACACUGGCCGCAGAGGCUGAGAAAGGAGAGGACCCCAGCCUGCCUCUGGAGGCCCAGGGGAGGCAGUGAAGGGCCCAAGGCUAGUGAUGCAGGAGUUUCCAGAGCGCAGGGAAAUACGGAGCGAGAAACACCAGCCCUCAGCUCCACUGGGGCGCCACGCAACCUCUGCCGGUGCUGAGGGGUUACAGGGCUCUGUUACCAGCCCCAUUCCUCCUGGACGGGCGAGGUCGGUCUGCAUCACACCCCCUAACCUCUUGUGCUCUGCGACCUCAGAAUACAUGAAGCUGUGUCCACAGGCCUCAGCGGCUGUGAACCCCUCGCCUACACUGGGGGGUCCUCAGCUGACACCUGAGCCAGUGUCCAGUGUCCCAGUGGUGCCAGGACAGAGUCCCCCUCCCCGACCUGACUUGUGCACCUCGUCACCCACUGCCAGCAGUGUCCCCCCACAACAGGCUUGCUCAGUACAGCACCCAACCCAAGUCCCCAGCACCCACACCCCAGUGAGUUUCCUGUGUUCUAUAGGCUCAGCUGCUUCUCGUCCUCCCCCCACUUGGGAUCCUUGGAACAGGGAAUGGUUCUUAUUUAGGUCCCUGAGGUACCAAGCACAGGCUUUGCUCUUAGCAGCCACCACUCCAGUGAUGAAGCUGAUAGCAGACUGGCCCCUGCAGAGCUCUGAGCGGGGGUGGCUGGCUUCACCGGCCUCCACCCUGGCCCAGAGCUGCCUCCUGAGCAGCGGAUCCCAACCUGCCUGCCCCUGGGGCUGGGUCUCCAGCAGUCAGGACUGAGCUGCUGCUAGCUGCUGACAGGUGUGGGGUGAAGGGGGCGCAUUUGCCCCGUGUCCCCAUUGGCAGCAUCUCCACACCUUCCCUUGUGACACCUCCUACCAGAACAGACCCCCACCUGCUCCCCCAGCACCAGGGGUCGUCUUCUGCCUGCUCCUUCUGUCCGCCACACUGAAGAGUGUGCUCCAGCCGGGGAUGGGCGUGCGUGACGCUGGGGAAUGGACACCUGUGAAAUGGUGGAGUGUGCAUCAAGUCUAAAUAGCCGCUCACAAGAUCUGAGGGCUUUUUGUUUCCAGAAACCUGAUCUGAUCUUUAUAAAAAGUGCUCCCCCGCUCAGUCAGCCUGGGUCUCCCUCCCGUCCAGGCUGGCAGCGCUGUCUGGCUCGGCGAGGAGGGGCUGAAACUGGAGAGCCCCUGGGAAGGCUCUUGCGGGCCAAGUGGCAACGGGGAGGGUAGCUCUCGUUCCCCGCCCUCAUUCUAGCGUUUAGCAGACUGCCCCACACCGCAGGUUUCCAUUUUCACCCUUAGGUUAAGAGAAAAGCAGGAAUAAAAAGUUUCUAAUGUUGCUUGCGAAA